AAUAUCAAGUAAUCAUCUGUAGAUUUGUGCUAAGACCAAAUAAUGUGUUGAAAACAAUGUGUUGAGAGUAUCACAUUGUUUGGUUUAGUACAAAUUUAUGGAUGGUUAUCAACAUCAAC
rnacentral:pre_miRNA from 1 species